rnacentral:misc_RNA from 1 species
AGGGAUCAUUAACAUGCACCCAGGUCCCUCAGGACCUCUAUAGCACAUAGGGAUCGGCGGCAGGGAGAAGCUCGGGAGCUUUGGGACGGGCCCUGCCCUCCCCAUCUCUCAGUGGACUCUGCCUCUACCCCGAUGGGCUAUAUAUCCACACCCUUGAACCUCUCUAUAUCACCACUCCUCACCUAUCCCCCUUCUCUUGGAAAAUUAAGCAUUCCUUUGAAAAUCUAUAUCACUCCUAGCAAUGGAUCUCUAGACUUCC